rnacentral:tRNA from 1 species
GUCGGUUUGGCGCAAUGGUAGCGUACAGGCCUCCUAAGCCUGGGGUUGCGGGUUCGAGUCCCGUGAUCGAUG